GAUAAACGCUGGCGGCGUGCUUAACACAUGCAAGUCGAACGAAGUUUUUCCUUCGGGAGAAACUUAGUGGCGGACGGGUGAGUAACGCGUGGGUAACCUGCCCUGUACAGGGGGACAACAGCUGGAAACGGCUGCUAAUACCGCAUAAGCACUUAGCACUGCAUGGUGCAUAGGGAAAAGGAGCAAUCCGGUACAGGAUGGACCCGCGUCUGAUUAGCCAGUUGGCAGGGUAACGGCCUACCAAAGCGACGAUCAGUAGCCGAUCUGAGAGGAUGUACGGCCACAUUGGGACUGAGACACGGCCCAGACUCCUACGGGAGGCAGCAGUGGGGAAUAUUGCACAAUGGAGGAAACUCUGAUGCAGCGACGCCGCGUGAGUGAAGAAGUAUUUCGGUAUGUAAAGCUCUAUCAGCAGGGAAGAAAAUGACGGUACCUGACUAAGAAGCACCAGCUAAAUACGUG
rnacentral:rRNA from 1 species